CCCGAUGCUAUUUCUAGAGAUAGAAAGGUUACUUCGGUACAUCGGUGACAGGUGGUGCAUGGUUGUCGUCAGCUCGUGUCGUGAGAUGUUGGGUUAAGUCCCGCAACGAGCGCAACCCCUAUUGUUAGUUGCCAUCAUUCAGUUGGGCACUCUAGCGAGACUGCCGGUAAUAAACCGGAGGAAGGUGGGGAUGACGUCAAAUCAUCAUGCCCCUUAUGACCUGGGCUACACACGUGCUACAAUGGUUGGUACAACGAGUUGCGAGUCGGUGACGGCGAGCUAAUCUCUUAAAGCCAAUCUCAGUUCGGAUUGUAGGCUGCAACUCGCCUACAUGAAGUCGGAAUCGCUAGUAAUCGCGGAUCAGCACGCCGCGGUGAAUACGUUCCCGGGCCUU
rnacentral:rRNA from 1 species